rnacentral:rRNA from 1 species
AGAGUUUGAUCCUGGCUCAGGAUGAACGCUAGCGGCAGGCCUAAUACAUGCAAGUCGAGGGGCAGCGGGGUAGCAAUACUGCCGGCGACCGGCGCACGGGUGCGUAACACGUAUGCAACCUACCUUAAACAGGGGGAUAGCCCGGGGAAACUCGGAUUAACACCCCAUAAUACAUUUGGACUUCAUGGUUUGAUUGUUAAAGAUUUAUCGGUUUAAGAUGGGCAUGCGUUCGAUUAGCUAGUUGGUGAGGUAAUGGCUCACCAAGGCUACGAUCGAUAGGGGGUCUGAGAGGAUGAUCCCCCACACUGGUACUGAGAUACGGACCAGACUCCUACGGGAGGCAGCAGUAGGGAAUAUUGGUCAAUGGAGGCAACUCUGAACCAGCCAUGCCGCGUGUAGGAAGAAGGCGUUCUGCGUUGUAAACUACUUUUGAUUGGGAACAAAUGACUCUUGCGAGAGUAGCUGAGUGUACCAAUAGAAUAAGCCACGGCUAACUACGUGCCAGCAGCCGCGGUAAUACGUAGGUGGCAAGCGUUGUCCGGAUUUAUUGGGUUUAAAGGGUGCGUAGGCGGCUUUUUAAGUCAGUGGUGAAAGCCGAUCGCUUAACGAUCGAACUGCCAUUGAUACUGAAAGGCUUGAGUAUAGAUGAGGUAGGCGGAAUUGACAGUGUAGCGGUGAAAUGCAUAGAUAUUGUCAAGAACACCAAUUGCGAAGGCAGCUUACUAAGUUAUAACUGACGCUGAGGCACGAAAGUGUGGGGAUCAAACAGGAUUAGAUACCCUGGUAGUCCACACUGUAAACGAUGAUUACUCGAUGUUGGCGAUACACAGCCAGCGUCUUAGCGAAAGCGAUAAGUAAUCCACCUGGGGAGUACGCCCGCAAGGGUGAAACUCAAAGGAAUUGACGGGGGUCCG